UAUCUCUGUAGAGUCUGCAUAUCAAUAAGCGGAGGAAAAGAAACUAACUAGGAUUCCCUUAGUAACGGCGAGUGAAGCGGGAAGAGCUCAAAUUUGAAAUCUUCAAGGUUUUACCUUGACGAAUUGUAGUUUAAAGAAGUGUUUUCUGUUGGUGUUUUGGUAAAAGUUCUUUGGAAUAGGACAUCAUAGAGGGUGAGAAUCCCGUAUUUGACCAUUACUUCCAGCGUUGUGAUACACUUUCAAAGAGUCGGAUUGUUUGGGAAUGCAGUCCAAAAUGGGUGGUAAAUUUCAUCUAAAGCUAAAUAUUGGCGAGAGACCGAUAGCGAACAAGUACCGUGAGGGAAAGAUGAAAAGAACUUUGAAAAGAGAGUUAAACAGUACGUGAAAUUGUCAAAAGGGAAGCGUUUGACACCAGUGUUGUUUUCUCGAAAAUCAAUUAAAAAAAGUUGGAUUUUGUAUUGUUAAGACCUUAUCAGCUUACUGUACUCUUUUCUUGCUUUUUCUAAUGCACUUUUCGUUUAACAAGUCAACAUCAAUUUCUUUUGUUGUAAAAGAGUCAUUGGAAGGUGGCUUUCACUUCGGUGAAAGUGUUUAUAGCCUUUGGCUUCUGCAAUCGGAGAGAUUGAGGUCUGCAGCGUAGAUCCUUCGGGGCUAGAUACGUAGAUGCUAAGUUAUAGUUUUUUAUAGACAACUUGUUGACUAUAAUUAAUCAUGUAGCUUACUCGUUUGCGCUAUUUUACCUACGCUUAGGAUGUUGAUCUGUAGUGCGUGCGC
rnacentral:rRNA from 1 species